rnacentral:rRNA from 1 species
GUUUGAUCAUGGCUCAGGAUGAACGUUGCCGGCGUGCCUAACACAUGCAAGUCGAACGAGCAGCCGGAUUCUUCGGAAACCGGCGGGCUAGUGGCGCACGGGUGAGUAACACGUUGGUGACCUGCCCCGAAGCGGGGGACAACCACUGGAAACGGUGGCUAAUACCGCAUGUGCUUAAUCAUUCGUUUGGUUAAGUAAAACUCAGGUGCUUCGGGAGGGGCCUGCGGUCGAUUAGUUAGUUGGUGAGGUAAUGGCUCACCAAGACGAUGAUCGAUAGGGGGCGUGAGAGCGUGACCCCCCACACUGGAACUGAGACACGGUCCAGACUCCUACGGGAGGCAGCAGUGAGGAAUAUUGCACAAUGGGCGCAAGCCUGAUGCAGCAACGCCGCGUGGGGGAUGAAGGCCUUCGGGUCGUAAACCCCUUUUCCAUGGGAAGAGAAAGGACGGUACCAUGGGAAUAAGUCUCGGCUAACUACGUGCCAGCAGCCGCGGUAAAACGUAGGAGGCGAACGUUAUCCGGAAUUACUGGGCGUAAAGCGCGCGCAGGCGGCUCUGUAAGUCCGAUGUGAAAGCUCCCGGCUUAACUGGGAGAGGCCAUUGGAUACUGCGGAGCUUGAGGUUAGGAGAGGAAAGCGGAAUUCCCGGUGUAGUGGUGGAAUGCGUAGAUAUCGGGAGGAACUCCAGAGGCGAAGGCGGCUUUCUGGCCUACACCUGACGCUGAGGCGCGAAAGCGUGGGGAACAAACAGGAUUAGAUACCCUGGUAGUCCACGCUGUAAACGAUGUGAACUAGGUGUUGGUGGUAUCGACCCCAUCAGUGCCGUAGCUAACGCGAUAAGUUCACCGCCUGGGGACUACGGCCGCAAGGCUAAAACUCAAAGGAAUUGACGGG